GAAACGACAUACGAGAGUGUGAUGUGUUCGAACAUAAUUGGUUUCUGUCCCGUAUGUGAACUCCUUUCCAAUUUGAUUAUAAAGUGUUGGUCUCUCUAGGGUUUUAAUUCAUCGGAGAGUCGUAAUAUGUGUUAUCAUGGCCGGCUCGGAGUUCUCUCCCUCUCUUGCUGCUUCACAUUAUCCCCGUAGUUACAGAUGCAAUGACGAGAAAGAAACAGCACAGAGAUCAUUGAUCGUGGGAUUUUAUGAUCCCGCGGGAUGAACACCUCUUCUGAUGCUGUCUGGGGUGCAGAAAUGAAACCUCUCCCUCCCCCAAAACCUGUUGCAGGCGGAUUGGAUCCCAAGUCUCCGCUACAAGAGACCUUAUAGAUUUGGUAGGUUUUGGCAAGGGACUGGCUCUUACCAUUCUAUAUUUGCAUCGAGAAUCACCGGUGAUUUCUUAAUCUAUCGUUCUGCAAAUGGUGUAAUUUUGGACUUCCAGAUCAACCAUUUAAUAGGAUACUCGUGAAUUUGCAAAUAAAGCUUUUAUGAUAUCUCUUUAAUGAAUUGGAACCAUGAGUUGAUGAAUCGAUUAUUUUCACCUCAUUCAGCUCAAGAAAUUCACUAAUGCAUCAGCUCAUCGACUCCUACACUCAGAACUCCCAAGUUUUAGAAAUUAAAAUGGAUUUGUCCCAAAAUUAUGAUUUUUUUUAUGGAGGGCCUUAAAUGAUGCUCUACCCACGAAGAGUAGAUUCACUGUGUGGAGGAACAACUUUGACUCUUGUUGCUCACUAUGUACGAAAGAGAAGGAAACUAUAGGCCAUUUUAUUCCUUAAGUGUCCUAUUGUAAAGAUGGUUUGGUUUUGUUUGGUUCUGAACUGACCUAUUUCAUCAAUUAUCAGAAUUGAUAUCAUUUUGGAUUGCUCCUGAGGUUUCUUUUUC